rnacentral:rRNA from 1 species
AUUGAACGCUGGCGGCAGGCCUAACACAUGCAAGUCGAACGAGUGGCGGACGGGUGAGUAAUGUCUGGGAAACUGCCCGAUGGAGGGGGAUAACUACUGGAAACGGUAGCUAAUACCGCAUACCAUCGGAUGUGCCCAGAUGGGAUUAGCUUGUAGGUGAGGUAACGGCUUACCAAGGCAACGAUGCAUAGCCGACCUGAGAGGGUGAUCGGCCACACUGGAACUGAGACACGGUCCAGACUCCUACGGGAGGCAGCAGUAGGGAAUCUUCCGCAAUGGGCGAAAGCCUGACGGAGCAACGCCGCGUGUAUGAAGAAGGCCUUCGGGUUGUAAAGUACUUUCAGCGGGGAGGCGUUACCCGCAGAAGAAGCACCGGCUAACUCCGUGCCAGCAGCCGCGGUAAUAC